GAUGAACGCUGGCGGCAUGCCUAAUACAUGCAAGUCGAACGAGAGGAAGGAAAGCUUGCUUUUCUGAAUCUAGUGGCGAACGGGUGAGUAACACGUAGGUAACCUGCCCAUGUGCCCGGGAUAACUUCUGGAAACGGAUGCUAAAACCGGAUAGGUAGCAGACAAGCAUUGGACUGCUAUUAAAGUGGCUAAGGCCAUGAACAUGGAUGGACCUGCGGUGCAUUAACUAGUUGGUGAGGUAACGGCCCACCAAGGCGCCUGUGAAUAGCCGGCAUGAGAGGGCGGACGGCCACAUUGGGACUGAGACACGGCCCACACUCCUACGGGAGGCAGCAGUAGGGAAUUUUCGUCAAUGGAGGGAACCCUGAACGAGCAAUGCCGCGUGAGUGAGGAAGGUCUUCGGAUCGUAAAGCUCUGUUGUAAGAGAAAAACGACAUUCAUAGGGAAUGAUGAGUGAGUGAUGGUAUCUUACCAGAAAGUCACGGCUAACUACGUGCCAGCAGCCGCAGUAA
rnacentral:rRNA from 1 species